rnacentral:rRNA from 1 species
UACGUAGGGGGCGAGCGUUGUCCGGAGUUACUGGGCGUAAAGCGCACGCAGGCGGUCUGCUAAGUUUGGAGUGACAGUGCUCGGCUUAACUGAGCAAGUGCUUCGAAAACUGACAGACUUGAGGGCUUCAGAGGGACAUGGAAUUCCGGGUGUAGUGGUGAAAUGCGUAGAUAUCCGGAGGAACACCAAAGGCGAAGGCAGUGUCCUGGGAAGUACCUGACGCUCAGGUGCGAAAGCUAGGGGAGCGAACGGGAUUAGAUACCCCGGUAGUCCUAGCCGUAAACGAUGACCACUAGAUGUAGGAGGUAUCGACCCCUUCUGUGUCGAAGCUAACGUGAUAAGUGGUCCGCCUGGGGAGUACGGUCGCAAGAUUAAA